GACGAACGCUGGGCGGCGUGCCUAACACAUGCAAGUCGAACGGAGUACCUUCGGGUGCUUAGUGGCGAACGGGUGAGUAACGCGUGAGAAACCUACCUUUCAGUGGGGGACAACAGUUGGAAACGACUGCUAAUACCGCAUAAUGUUAUCUGGGGGCAUCCCUGGGUAACCAAAGAUUUAUUGCUGAAAGAUGGUCUCGCGUCUGAUUAGCUAGUUGGUGAGGUAACGGCUCACCAAGGCGACGAUCAGUAGCCGGUCUGAGAGGAUGAACGGCCACAUUGGGACUGAGAUACGGCCCAGACUCCUACGGGAGGCAGCAGUGGGGAAUAUUGGGGCAAUGGGGGAAACCCUGACCCAGCAACGCCGCGUGAAGGAAGAAGGCC
rnacentral:rRNA from 1 species